rfam:Bacillus sp. KCTC 13219 scaffold1.1, whole genome shotgun sequence.
GACGUGUACUGCUUUUUNGUGGUUAAGACACCGCCCUUUCACGGCGGUAACACGGGUUCGAAUCCCGUACGGGUCA